rnacentral:rRNA from 1 species
CCUACGGGAGGCAGCAGUGAGGAAUAUUGGUCAAUGGGCGCGAGCCUGAACCAGCCAAGUAGCGUGAAGGAUGACUGCCCUACGGGUUGUAAACUUCUUUUAUAAGGGAAUAAAGUUAGGCACGUAUGCCUUUUUGUAUGUACUUUAUGAAUUAGGAUCGGCUAAAUCCGUGACAGCAGCCGCGGUAAUACGGAGGAUCCGACCGGUGUCCCGAUUUAUUGGGUUGAAAGGGAUCGUAGCGGGGUUGUUAAGUCAGGUGGGAAAGUUUGCGGCUCAACCGUAGAAUUGCAAUUGAUACUGGCAAUCUGGAGUGAGCGAGAGGUAUGCGGAAUGCGUGGUGUAGCGGUGAAAUGCAUAGAUAUAACGCAGAACUCCGAUUGCGAAGGCAGCAUACCGGCGCUCGACUGACGCUGAGGCACGAAAGCGUGGGGAGCGAACAGGAUUAGAUACCCCAGUAGUC